AAUGAAUUUGGGAUGGCAGUUGCUGAACAGAACACAAAAUAGCCAGUGUCAAUUAAAGCAGAGGGCUCAUAGCUCAGUUGGAAGAGCGCCACCCUUGUGGGGUGGAGGCCAUAGGUUCAAAUCCUAUUGAGUCCACUUUCGAUGCACCUGGAGAUGUGAAUCAUCAGGGAAGGGCUGAAGGUUAAUGACCUGACGAUGCCGUGUAAUGGUUUAGCACUCUGGACGUUAAAUGGGUUCAACAUCAAAGAGUAC
rnacentral:tRNA from 1 species